rnacentral:rRNA from 1 species
AGUGAACGCUGGCGGUAGGCCUAACACAUGCAAGUCGAACGGCAGCACAGUAAGAGCUUGCUCUUACGGGUGGCGAGUGGCGGACGGGUGAGGAAUACAUCGGAAUCUACUUUUUCGUGGGGGAUAACGUAGGGAAACUUACGCUAAUACCGCAUACGACCUACGGGUGAAAGCAGGGGAUCUUCGGACCUUGCGCGAUUGAAUGAGCCGAUGUCGGAUUAGCUAGUUGGCGGGGUAAAGGCCCACCAAGGCGACGAUCCGUAGCUGGUCUGAGAGGAUGAUCAGCCACACUGGAACUGAGACACGGUCCAGACUCCUACGGGAGGCAGCAGUGGGGAAUAUUGGACAAUGGGCGCAAGCCUGAUCCAGCCAUACCGCGUGGGUGAAGGAGGCCUUCGGGUUGUAAAGCCCUUUUGUUGGGAAAGAAAAGCAGCAGGUUAAUACCCCGCUGUCCUGACGGUACCCAAAGAAUAAGCACCGGCUAACUUCGUG